CCUACGGGAGGCAGCAGUGGGGAAUUUUGGACAAUGGGCGCAAGCCUGAUCCAGCCAUGCCGCGUGCGGGAAGAAGGCCUUCGGGUUGUAAACCGCUUUUGUCAGGGAAGAAAUCCUUUGAGAUAAUACCUCGGAGGGAUGACGGUACCUGAAGAAUAAGCACCGGCUAACUACGUGCCAGCAGCCGCGGUAAUACGUAGGGUGCGAGCGUUAAUCGGAAUUACUGGGCGUAAAGCGUGCGCAGGCGGUCUUGCAAGACAGAUGUGAAAUCCCCGGGCUCAACCUGGGAACUGCAUUUGUGACUGCAAGGCUAGAGUACGGUAGAGGGGGAUGGAAUUCCGCGUGUAGCAGUGAAAUGCGUAGAUAUGCGGAGGAACACCGAUGGCGAAGGCAAUCCCCUGGACCUGUACUGACGCUCAUGCACGAAAGCGUGGGGAGCAAACAGGAUUAGAUACCCUGGUAGUCCACGCCCUAAACGAUGUCAACUGGUUGUUGGACGGCUUGCUGUUCAGUAACGAAGCUAACGCGUGAAGUUGACCGCCUGGGGAGUACGGCCGCAAGGUUGAAACUCAAAUGAAAUUGACGGCUGAGAGNGCGACGGACGACACGAGGGGAGGAGG
rnacentral:rRNA from 1 species